CCCUCUUGAUGACUUGCUGAAGUUUUGACCCCGCUCCCAGGGGGGAAAUGGACCCCCUGGCUCCACACCGUUCUGUGUCCCCCCCUGCUCCCCCCAGCCUGUGUCUGUCACCUCUCCCAUCACCCAGUGAACCCAUGAGGGAGGGGCUGGGUCUCUCCACCCACUGCUGCUGCUCUCCCCCACCCCCCUGCCUAAAGCAGAGCUGGGCCAGAGUAGCUGCUCAGCAAACGAGGGGAGGUGGGAGGGGGUGGUGAUGAAGGACUUAAUGACAAGUUGUGAAACGGAGGACCUGAGAUCUUCAUCGAGCGUCUGGUGCAUGCUGGGCACCGUGCUGGGUUGGGGAUCACGGUGAGCGACACAGACACGGCCACUGGCCACCUGGAGGGCAGAGGCCAGCAGGAAGGGCGGAUGGUGGCCUAAGGCGCUGAUCUGUAGUGUGAGCUUGGGAGAGUCCCUUGCCCUCUUCAGGCCUCAGUGUUUCCAGUGAAUAAAACGAGGGUAUGGACUUGAUCAUCUAAGUGCUUCCUUCUGAUGCAAAUACCUUCACCUUGGAGCCAGGCUGGCCCCAUGUCCUCCUCCUCCCCACCCUCACCUGCUGUCUCGGCCCCAAGGAACCAGCUCAGGUGAGAAGCUCUGCCUCACCGCUGCUGGACAGGUGCGCUAUGAAAUUACCAUCAGAUUUAAAGCUGAGAGGAGAAAUGGGCGAGGAGGAGCCAAACCUCUUUUUAAUUAUCUGUGGCAGUUUCCAAUUGUUCAGGUUCCACCUUCCUGUGGCUCAGGAAAAGGAAGGAGGAGGCCCUAUUGGCAUGACGGCCCAGCUGCCUGUACCAGGAUGCCAAGCACAGAUGGGGGCCUUAACAUGGAAGAAGGGACCAGAGAAGGAGAUCAGAGCAAUAAGGAGGAUUUGACCUCCUGCUGCUGGGUUUGAAGAUGGAGGGAGGGACGACAAUCUGAAGAAUGCAGGCAGCGUCUAGAAGCUAGAAAAGGCAAGGAAAUGCUUAUAGGACCUCCGAAGGGAAACAGCCCUGUGGACAUUUUAAUUCCAGCCCAGUGAGAUCCAUUUUGGAUUUCUGGUCUCCAGAAUUACAGAAUAAUACAUGUGUAUUG